CAAAUUUGAUUCUUGCUGCUUCUGUUCAGUUUAUCUCCAAGGUAAAUCACAGCAUAACUUUUGCAUGUAAGGGAAAAUUCUUAUUACAGUAGUGAAAGUGCCUGAGUAGAGAAGGGCUGAGGCACAGCCAGCCAAUAGCACCCCAGGUUUAUAUUCCAUUUGAUGUUUUAAGAAAGGACUAACAUAACAGUUGAAAACGAACAGGAGCCGUUUCAAACAUGACUUUACCAAGUCAUUUCUCAUGAGAAAGUAAUUCUGUUUCUUGGAAGUCCCUAAAAUAGUUUGCAGAUUUACAGAUAUAUGGCUAGAUUAAGUGUUGUGGUGUAGUUCUAUUAUAGUGGCUUUCUUAUCUAUCAGACAAGGAUUCAAAUUACCGUGGAUAUUGUUAGCAUUGUCUGGUUUCGUGUAUACUAAAUCGAAGUUUAAAGAAUUCAUGUUCAUGGAAUUUUCGUAUUUUAAAAAUGUUUGCUGUAUUCAAAAUGAAGAUAGCUUUUAAAUAUAUCCUAGCAUAAUUUAGUCUUUGCUGAACUCAAAUUUAGGUUUAAUGAGAUCUUUAAGAAAUUUGCAUGAAUUUACCCUCCAUUCCCAUUGCCCUUCAGAAUCUCUGUACAGUACUUGAAUUCAUAAUCUGUCUGUGGCCAGCUUCUGUUUUCAAAAUAAAUAGCUCUCAAAGUUGAAUGUUUUCUAAGAAUGAGAAUAUAAGCUUUUAAAGGCACUUGAACAAAAUUUAAACAAAAAAUAUUUGUUAGAUUUUUUUGUUUGAAGUAUUUUAGGUCUUUGUCUUUUAAUAAGGUUUUUUUGUUAUAUG
rnacentral:lncRNA from 1 species